GGGCGGUUAGCUCAGUUGGGAGAGCGCCUCGUUUACACCGAGGAGGUCGCUGGUUCGAGCCCAGUACCGCCCA
rnacentral:tRNA from 1 species